rnacentral:rRNA from 1 species
CGCUGGCGGCAGGCCUAACACAUGCAAGUCGAACGGUAACAGGAAGCAGCUUGCUGCUUUGCUGACGAGUGGCGGACGGGUGAGUAAUGUCUGGGAAACUGCCUGAUGGAGGGGGAUAACUACUGGAAACGGUGGCUAAUACCGCAUAAYGUCGCAAGACCAAAGAGGGGGACCUUCGGGCCUCUUGCCAUCAGAUGUGCCCAGAUGGGAUUAGCUUGUUGGUGAGGUAACGGCUCACCAAGGCGACGAUCCCUAGCUGGUCUGAGAGGAUGACCAGCCACACUGGAACUGAGACACGGUCCAGACUCCUACGGGAGGCAGCAGUGGGGAAUAUUGCACAAUGGGCGCAAGCCUGAUGCAGCCAUGCCGCGUGUAUGAAGAAGGCCUUCGGGUUGUAAAGUACUUUCAGCGGGGAGGAAGGUGUUGUGGUUAAUAACCACAGCAAUUGACGUUACCCGCAGAAGAAGCACCGGCUAACUCCGU